rnacentral:rRNA from 1 species
UAGGGAAUCUUCCACAAUGGGCGCAAGCCUGAUGGAGCAACACCGCGUGAGUAAAGAAGGGUUUCGGCUCGUAAAGCUCUGUUGUUAAAGAAGAACACGUAUGAGAGUAACUGUUCAUACGUUGACGGUAUUUAACCAGAAAGUCACGGCUAACUACGUGUCAG